rnacentral:tRNA from 1 species
GGGGAUUUAGCUCAGUGGCAUAAGCACCCGUCUGGCAAGCGUGAGGUCAUGGGUUCAAUCCCCA